CACAGGGUUCAUUUGAGGCUAACUAUUAUUUAUUAUUUUUUCCACACACAUUUACUGAGCACCCACCAGAUGCCUAGGCCCUUUCCAAGAUGUUGUGGCAACCAAGAUAAGUAAGACUUUUCCCUGCUGGAAUGUCACACUCUCAUGAGGAAGAUUGAAAGGCGGCCAGGAACUCACAAUGGGAAGAGGCCAGUGAGUGACUAAGGUCUUGAAGGGUACUGCAGGGGUGCAGGGGGUGUGUACUGGGCUGUCUGAGAGAGUCAGAGAAGGCUUCCUGGAAGAACGGAUACUUGAGUUGGGUGUUGAAGGAUGAAUAGGAGUUCACCAGGGAAAGGGGAGAGAAUUCUGGGUAAUGGGAGCAGUGUUUGUGCAAAGAUGAAAGAGACCAUUUCCAGUGCCAAGUUGAAGGGCUGGGAUAUUGUCCUAGAAGCACUGGGGAGCCAUGGGAGGACCAUGAGCAAGGGAUGACCAGUAUCUGCUUUGGGUAUAGAAAGACCUUCUGUAGCCGUAUGGGGGACAGUCUAAAAGGGAGAGCCUGGAGGCCUGGGAGGAGAAUAGGGUAAGAGUUCAGAUUGGAGAGGAGGAGGCCUGAAUUGAGGCUGUGGCCAAGGGAGUGGUGAGAAGGGCUUGGGGCAGGGGGGCAGCUGUGAGAGUUGAGCAAGGAGGAGAGAGGCAGUGAUGGGGGUACCCCUGUUAUCUAACCUAGAUAUAUGGAUAUACACUGAGGCCAUUUACCAAGAGGGAGAGUACAGGUAUUAGAGCAGGUUUGGCAGGAAAGAUAAUGAACCUCGUUUUAAUGUAAGUGCAUGGCACAUUUUUUUUUUUUAGAUGAACUCUACAUCCAACAUUGGGGUCAAUAUCACAAUCCCGAGAUCAAGAGUCGUGUGCUCUUUCAACUGAGCCAGCUGGGGUCCCCAACUGCCUGGCGCAUUUAAGAAAGAUUUCCCUCAAAAAAAAAAAAAUGGAAAGGAAGAAAGGAAAGAAGAAAGAAAGAAAAAAGAAAGAAAGAAAGAAAGAAAGAAAGAAAGAAAGAAAGAAAGAAAGAAAGAAAAGCAGACUUCCCGGAUGGCUGGCCUCAAGAGGCACAAAAGCUCAAGGAUUGCUGAGGUGGCUGGGAGAUGAAGAGGAAGAGAAGAAUAAAAAGAGGGGUAAAUUGGGAACUUCCGGUGUGGGUGUCAGGAAUGUCAAGUGAAUGAGUCAAAUAAAAAAGCGCAGGCAUCCCUCUUGGAACUCA
rnacentral:lncRNA from 1 species